AAAAACUUGAAGAGAGGUUUUCAGAUAGCUGAAUAUUGUUUUAUGUGUAAGAAGGAUGGAGAAUCUAUUGGCCAUCUUUUUCUUCAUUGUGAGGUGGCGACAUCAUUGUGAAAUGAGAUUUUUGCAAGGAUUGGCAUUUUAUGGGUGAUGCCUAUGCAUGUGGCGGAUUUCUUUGCUUGCUGGCAAGGUAUCGAGGGGAGAAGUAACAGUACUGCAGUGCUGAAGAUGAUCCCCCUGUGCUUACUUUGGUGUUUAUGUUUAGAGAGGAAUGGGAGGUGCUUUGAUAAUUCUGGAAGAGAGGACAGGCUAUUGUGGGAUCAUGCUGGAAAUCUCAGGUUUAUAUUGGGUGAUGCCUA